rnacentral:lncRNA from 1 species
GUAACUGCUUCAUCUACCUGCUCUGCCUUGGGCUGGAGAAGAUUUGAAAGAUUCUGCACUUAAGUACCAAGAGCCUUCAUCCAAUAGCUGUUCCAAGAAGAGACAGGCACCCAUAGCAAUACUCAAGAGAACAUGAGUGCUGUAAACUCCUGCACACAUCUUAUUGCUGCAUCAAAGAUGACAGUUGCUUUCCUUUGGCGCUCGUCACCCUUUCCAGUUGGAUGUAGGUGGAAGGAUGUGUUUCUGUAAGUGCUGGGGUGGGUGAGAUGACACUUCAUCAACCUACUUGCUUCCUGGGAUUAUAGUGUUUGAAGAUGUUGAUGAAGAGCUUUCACUAUGUGCCUGGAGGCAAUGGGUCUGGGCGAGGCAUUCCAUGGGUGUUAGCUUACUCAUACCUUAUGGCAUGCCUUCGCUCCCUCAUUCAACAGACAUUCAUCGAAUGCCUGCUAAGUGCCAAGUCUGGUACUAUGUCAGGGCUACAACAGUGGAUGCAGCAGAGACAGUACCUGUCCCUUUCCAAAGCCUCCACCAUCCUCA